UACGUAGGGUGCAAGCGUUGUCCGGAAUUAUUGGGCGUAAAGAGCUCGUAGGCGGUCUGUCGCGUCUGCUGUGAAAACUCAGGGCUUAACCCUGAGCUUGCAGUGGGUACGGGGCAGACUAGAGUGCGGUAGGGGGAGACUGGAAUUCCUGGUGUAGCGGUGAAAUGCGCAGAUAUCAGGAGGAACACCGGUGGCGAAGGCGGG
rnacentral:rRNA from 1 species